rnacentral:tRNA from 1 species
GUCUUGGUGGCUCAGUUGGUUAGAGCGUUGGUCUCAUAGCGAUGAUCCAAUCUCAAGGUUGGGCAAUCCAAAGGUCGCGAGUUCGAGUCUCGCCCAGGACA